rnacentral:rRNA from 1 species
CUCGUAGGCGGUUCGUCGCGUCCGGUGUGAAAGUCCAUCGCCUAACGGUGGAUCUGCGCCGGGUACGGGCGGGCUGGAGUGCGGUAGGGGAGACUGGAAUUCCCGGUGUAACGGUGGAAUGUGUAGAUAUCGGGAAGAACACCAAUGGCGAAGGCGGCUUACUGGACUGAAACUGACACUGAGGCACGAAAGCGUGGGGAGCAAACA